rnacentral:rRNA from 1 species
UACGUAGGGCGCAAGCGUUAUCCGGAAUUAUUGGGCGUAAAGAGCUCGUAGGCGGUUCGGCAAGUCGGAUGUGAAAUCUCCACGCUUAACGUGGAGGGCCAUUCGAAACUGCUGUGACUCGAGUCCGGUAGGGGAGUGUGGAAUUCCCGGUGUAGCGGUGAAAUGCGCAGAUAUCGGGAGGAACACCAAUGGCGAAGGCAGCUCGCUGGACGUGACUGACG